rfam:Toxocara canis scaffold866, whole genome shotgun sequence.
CGGGCAGCAGCUCAGUGGUAGAGCUCCCGCAUCGUACGCGGGAAGACUUGAGUUCGGUUCCCGGCUGCUUAC